rnacentral:lncRNA from 10 species
ACUGCACAGCUGGUAUCACGCACUGAUCAGUCACUGGCUGGGCACUGCUGGGGAAGAGUGUUGCCUCAGCUCAAAAGCAGAAUCGGAUCCUGAAGGACCUAAUGACUAGAAACUUCCAGCUGACUACACUCUGCAACUGACUGAGAAUCAAAGAAAAAGAUUAAGAAGCCCUUGGAUCAGAAGAGACUACAUACAUAUGACAACUAAAUGCAAUAUGCAAUUCUGCAUUGAAUUGGAUCCCGUUGAGGAAGAGGACAUCAGUGAAAUAAUAG